rnacentral:rRNA from 1 species
CCUACGGGUGGCAGCAGUGAGGAAUAUUGGUCAAUGGACGAGAGUCUGAACCAGCCAAGUAGCGUGAAGGAUGACUGUCCUAUGUGUUGUAAACUUCUUUUAUCAAGGAAUAAAACCAGGCACGUGUGCCUGUUUGCAGGUACUUUAUGAAUAAGCAUCGGCUAACUCCGUGCCAGCAGCCGCGGUAAUACGGAGGAUGCGAGCGUUAUCCGGAUUUAUUGGGUUUAAAGGGUGCGUAGGCGGCCUUUUAAGUCGGCGGUAAAAUCUCGGGGCUCAACCCCGGCGAGCCGUUGAAACUGGGUGGCUUGAGGGGGCGAGAGGUAUGCGGAAUGCGUGGUGUAGCGGUGAAAUGCAUAGAUAUCACGCAGAACCCCGAGUGCGAAGGCAGCAUACCGGCGGCCUACUGACGCUGAGGCACGAAAGCGUGGGUAUCGAACAGGAUUAGAUACCCGGGUAGUC